GUAGGUGAACCUGCGGAAGGAUCAUUAAAGAGUUUAGAGACUUCGGUCUACAACUCCACCCUUCGUUUACAAUACCAUUGUUGCUUUGGCAGGCCAGUCGCAAGACAACCGGCUUUGGCUGUUGAGUGCCCGCCAGAGGACCCCAACUCUUGUUUUUAGUGAUGUCUGAGUACUAUAUAAUAGUUAAAACUUUCAACAACGGAUC
rnacentral:misc_RNA from 1 species